rnacentral:rRNA from 1 species
UGCCAGCAGCCGCGGUAAUACGAAGGGUGCUAGCGUUGUUCGGAAUUACUGGGCGUAAAGAGCAUGUAGGCGGAUGAAUUAGUCAGAGGUGAAAGCCCCGAGCCCAACUUGGGAACUGCCUUUGAUACUGUUUAUCUAGAGUCCGAGAGAGGUUAGUGGAAUUCCGAGUGUAGAGGUGAAAUUCGUAGAUAUUCGGAGGAACACCGAUGGCGAAGGCAUCUCUCUGGGUCGAUAUUGACGCUGAGGCGCGAAGGCGUGGGUAGCGAACGGGAUUAGAUA